rnacentral:rRNA from 1 species
CCUACGGGUGGCAGCAGGGAGGAAUAUUGGUCAAUGGACGCAAGUCGGAACCAGCCAUGCCGCGUGCAGGAAGACGGCUCGAUGAGGGGUAAACUGCGUUUGUACGAGGGUAAACGCAGAUACGUGUAUCUGUCUGCACGUAUCGUACGAAUAAGGAUCGGCUAACUCCGUGCCAGCAGCCGCGGUAAUACGGAGGAUUCAAGCGUUCUCCGGAUUUAUUGGGUUUAAAGGGUGCGUAGGCGGUCGGAUAAGUUAGAGGUGAAAUCCCGGGGCUCAACUUCGGAAUUGCCUCUGAUACUGUUCGGCUAGAGCGUAGUUGCGGUAGGCGGAAUGUAUGGUGUAGCGGUGAAAUGCUUAGAGAUCAUACAGAACACCGAUUGCGAAGGCAGCAUACCGGCGCUCAACUGACGCUCAUGCACGAAAGUGUGGGUAUCGAACAGGAUUAGAUACCCCUGUAGUC